rnacentral:rRNA from 1 species
UACAGAGGUCUCAAGCGUUGUUCGGAUUCAUUGGGCGUAAAGGGUGCGUAGGUGGCGCCGUAAGUCAGGUGUGAAAUUUCGGAGCUUAACUCCGAAACUGCAUUUGAUACUGCGGUGCUUGAGGACUGGAGAGGAGACUGGAAUUUACGGUGUAGCAGUGAAAUGCGUAGAGAUCGUAAGGAAGACCAGUGGCGAAGGCGGAUCUCUGGACAGCUACUGACACUGAGGCACGAAGGCCAGGGGAGCAAACGGG